rnacentral:rRNA from 1 species
AUUGAACGCUGGCGGCAUGCCUAACACAUGCAAGUCGAACGGCAGCACAGCAGUAGCAAUACUGUGGGUGGCGAGUGGCGGACGGGUGAGGAAUACGUCGGAAUCUGCCCAGUCGUGGGGGAUAACUAGCCGAAAGGUUAGCUAAUACCGCAUACGACCGAGAGGUGAAAGCGGGGGGACCGCAAGGCCUCGCGCGAUUGGAUGAGCCGACGUCGGAUUAGCUAGUUGGCGGGGUAAAGGCCCACCAAGGCGACGAUCCGUAGCUGGUCUGAGAGGAUGAUCAGCCACACUGGAACUGAGACACGGUCCAGACUCCUACGGGAGGCAGCAGUGGGGAAUAUUGGACAAUGGGCGCAAGCCUGAUCCAGCCAUGCCGCGUGAGUGAAGAAGGCCUCGGUGUAAGCUCUUCGUCGGGAGAAUAGCACGGGUUAAGUAACCCU